rnacentral:lncRNA from 1 species
UCUCUCCUCUCACCCUUUGUCGCAGCCCCGGGGUCUCCGCCGCCGCCCCCCCCCACCGCCGCCGCCAUAGUGGCAACCGCUGGGCAACGGCGCGGCACUUCCGCAUCACGCGGCACUUCCGCUUCCGGCUACCGAGAGGCACCGCGCAGAGUGUCGGCGUCAAGAACCAUAGAGAGAAGCGGGAGCAGGGAGACAGAGCGGCGACUCCCGGGGGCACGUGAUGUCCACCGAGAGCCCGCCGCCAAUCAGAGAGCGCUUCGCCGCCUCGCCACGCCCUCUCUGUCCCAACUGGCCAAUCAGAGAACGCCUCGCGUUCUUCCCGCCUCACCCCACGUCCAGCCAAUCCCCGCCCUCAUCACCUCAGCCUCGAACCCCGCCCUCACCCUUCCUCCAGCCAAUAACGGCCCUCAAUUAUCUAGUCCCCGCCCACUCUUCUCAUUCAGCCAAUCCCCGCCCUCAUCACCUCAGCCUCAAAACCCGCCUUCACCUCUCCUCCAGCCAAUCACAGCCCUCAAUUAUCCAAUCCCCGCUCGCGCUUCUCAACCAGCCAAUCACCGCCCUCAUCCCCUCAGCCAUCAAAAUCCCGCCCUCUCCCCUCAGCCAAUCCCCUCCCUCCUUCCCUCAGUCUCAAACCCCCGCCCUUAUUUCUCAUUCACCCAAUCACAGCGCUCAAACUCCCCGCCUUCUCCCCUUACCCAGCCAAUCACCACUCUCCCCACCUCAGGAUCCCAAACCCGCCUUCACCUCUCAGCCAAUCAGAGACCUCCUCCCCUCAGCCACAAGCCCCGCCCUCUUUCCUUCUCACCCAAUCACCACUCGCCGCGGCUCAGUCCCGCCCCCUCCCCUCCCGCCAGCCAAUCCCCGUCCUCCCCCCUCACGCUCCUCGGCGAAUCAGAUCGCGCCGUUCCCAGGCGGGCGCCGAGGGCUGAGCAGAAGCUCCAAGAUGGCGGCGCCCCCCGGUCCCUCCGCUCCGAGCCCCACUCCGGGCCCUUCCCCGGGCUCCGGCUGCGCUUUGGGCCCGUCCACCUCGUACCGCCCCUUCGACCCCACCUCGCUGGGGCUGGACCCGAGCUGGAGGUUGACGAGUUACAGCGAACUGCGGGGAUGAGGCUGUAAAGUGCCCGAGGAAACGCUGCUGCGGCUGCUGGAGGGGUUGGGGGGACCUCGGAGCGGAGCGGCGGCGGCGGCGGGGGGGGACGGAGAAGGAGCGGAGCCCGGGGGGGCACCCACG